GACGAACGCUGGCGGCGUGCUUAACACAUGCAAGUCGAACGAUGAAACCUAGCUUGCUAGGUCGAUUAGUGGCGAACGGGUGAGUAACACGUGACUAACCUGCCCCUUUCUCUGGGAUAACGCUCCGAAAGGAGUGCUAAUACCGGAUACUCACAUCGAGGCACAUGCCUUGGCGUGGACAGUUUUUCGGAGAGGGAUGGAGGCGCGGCCUAUCAGCUUGUUGGUGAGGUAACGGCUCACCAAGGCGACGACGGGUAGCCGGCCUGAGAGGGCGACCGGCCACACUGGGACUGAGACACGGCCCAGACUCCUACGGGAGGCAGCAGUGGGGAAUAUUGCACAAUGGGCGCAAGCCUGAUGCAGCGACGCCGCGUGAGGGAUGAAGGUCUUCGGAUUGUAAACCUCUUUCAGUAGGGACGAAGCGAAAGUGACGGUACCUAAAGAAGAAGCACCGGCUAACUACGUGCCAGCCGCCGCGGUAA
rnacentral:rRNA from 1 species